rnacentral:rRNA from 1 species
CCUACGGGGGGCUGCAGUGGCGAAUAUUGGACAAUGGGGGCAACCCUGAUCCAGCCAUGCCGCGUGUGUGAAGAAGGCCCUCGGGUUGUAAAGCACUUUCAGUGAGGAAGAACGCCUGGUGGUUAAUACCCAUCAGGAAAGACAUCACUCACAGAAGAAGCACCGGCUAACUCCGUGCCAGCAGCCGCGGUAAUACGGAGGGUGCGAGCGUUAAUCGGAAUUACUGGGCGUAAAGCGCGCGUAGGUGGCUUGAUAAGCCGGUUGUGAAAGCCCCGGGCUCAACCUGGGAACGGCAUCCGGAACUGUCAAGCUAGAGUGCAGGAGAGGAAGGUAGAAUUCCCGGUGUAGCGGUGAAAUGCGUAGAGAUCGGGAGGAAUACCAGUGGCGAAGGCGGCCUUCUGGACUGACACUGACACUGAGGUGCGAAAGCGUGGGUAGCAAACAGGAUUAGAUACCCCGGUAGUC